rnacentral:tRNA from 1 species
CGGGAUGUGGCGCAGUCCGGUUAGCGCACUCCGUUAGGGACGGAGAGGUCGCAGGUUCAAAUCCUGUUAUCCCGA